UAGUUCGUACCGUAAGGCGUUCUGUUAAGUCAGAUAACGAACGAGACCCUCGUCCUUAAUUGCCAGCAUACCCUCCGGGGUGAUGGGUACACUGUGGAGACCGCCGCUGCUAAAGCGGAGGAAGGAAUGGGCAACGGUAGGUCAGUAUGCCCCGAAUCUCCCGGGCUACACGCGGGCUACAAUGGUUGGUACAAUGGGCAUCUACCCCGAAAGGGGAAGGAAAUCUCUUAAAGCCAAUCGUAGUUCGGAUUGAGGGCUGCAACUCGCCCUCAUGAAGCUGGAAUCCGUAGUAAUCGCGUUUCAACAGAACGCGGUGAAUACGUCCCUGCCCCUU
rnacentral:rRNA from 1 species